rnacentral:rRNA from 1 species
GGCGAACGGGUGAGUAACACGUUGGGCAAUCUGCCCUCUGGAGCGGGAUAACAGACCGAAAGGCCUGCUAAUACCGCAUGAGGCCGGACCUUCGCAUGGAGGACCGGUCAAAGGGGAAACCCGCCGGAGGAGGAGCCCGCGUCCCAUUAGCUAGUUGGCGGAGUAACGGCCCACCAAGGCGAUGAUGGGUAGCCGGCCUGAGAGGGUGAACGGCCACAUUGGGACUGAGACACGGCCCAGACUCCUACGGGGGGCAGCAGUGAGGGAUUUUCGGCAAUGGGCGAAAGCCUGACCGAGCGACGCCGCGUGAGCG